rnacentral:rRNA from 1 species
GAGUUCAACGGCCGCGGUACCCUAACCGUGCGAAGGUAGCAUAAUCACUUGUUCUUUAAAUGAGGACUCGUAUCAACGGCAUCACGAGGGUUAUACUGUCUCCUUUUUCCAAUCAAUGAAACUGAUCUCCCCGUGAAGAAGCGGGGAUACACCUAUAAGACGAGAAGACCCCAUGGAGCUUUAAACCCAACGGCACUCCUAUCUUUACACACCCCCUCACCCAAUAGGACCCUGCACGCUUGGUUUUAGGUUGGGGUGACCGCGGAGAACAAAACAACCUCCACAAUGAAUGGGACCUCCCCUUAUCUAAGAGACACAUCUCUAAGAAUUAGCAAACUAACAUAAAAUGAUCCGAUAUUCGAUCAACGAACCAAGUUACCCUGGGGAUAACAGCGCAAUCUACUUCAAGAGCUCCUAUCGACAAGUAGGUUUACGACCUCGAUGUUGGAUCAGGGUAUCCCAGUGGUGCAGCAGCUACUAACGGUUCGUUUGUUCAACGAUUAAAACCCU